GACGUAGGAUGCAAGCGUUGUCCGGAUUUAUUGGGCGUAAAGAGUUCGUAGGCGGUUCGUUAAGUCUGAUGUUAAAGAUCGGGGCUCAACCCUGGGAGUGCAUUGGAUACUGGCGAACUGGAGUGCGGUAGAGGCUAGUGGAAUUCCUGGUGUAGCGGUGAAAUGCGCAGAUAUCAGGAGGAACACCGAUGGCGAAGGCAGGUCUCUGGGCCAUAACUGACGCUGAGAAGCGAAAGCAUGGGGAGCGAACAGG
rnacentral:rRNA from 1 species